ACUUAAUGUCACGGUACCCAAUUUUCUGCCCCGGA
rnacentral:misc_RNA from 1 species